UUGAGAAUCCUAAGACGAACGGGAGAAGCGUUGUUAAGGAACUCGGCAAAUUGACCCCGUAAGUUCGCAAUAAGGGGUGCCUCAGAAAUGAGGUCGCAGAGAAUAGGCCCAAGCAACUGUUUAACAAAAACACAGGUCUCUGCUAAAUCGAAAGAUGAAGUAUAGGGGCUGACGCCUGCCCGGUGCUGGAAGGUUACGGGAAUCUGUCAACGAAAGUGAAGCAGUGAACUUAAGCCCCAGUAAACGGCGGCCGUAACUAUAACGGUCCUAAGGUAGCGAAAUUCCUUGUCAGGUAAGUUCUGACCCGCACGAAUGGCGUAAUGAUUUGGGCACUGUCUCAACAACGUACCCGGCGAAAUUGUAGUACUUGUGAAGAUGCAAGUUACCCGCGACUAGACGGAAAGACCCCAUGGAGCUUUACUGUAGCCUGAUACUGGGUUUCGGUAUUCUUUGUACAGGAUAGGUGGGAGGUUAGGAAGUAUGGACGCCAGUUCAUAUGGAACCGACGUUGGGAUACCACUCUAAGAAUACUGGAACUCUAACCUGAGGCCAUAAGCUGGUCUAGGGACACUGUCAGGUGGGCAGUUUGACUGGGGCGGUCGCCUCCCAAAAGGUAACGGAGGCGUUCAAAGGUUACCUCAGCGCGGUUGGAAAUCGCGCAACGAGUGCAAAGGCAUAAGGUAGCCUGACUGCGAGACAGACAAGUCGAGCAGGUACGAAAGUAGGACUUAGUGAUCCGGCGGUAUGAAAGUGGAAUUGCCGUCGCUCAACGGAUAAAAGCUACCCUGGGGAUAACAGGCUGAUCUCCCCCAAGAGUCCACAUCGACGGGGAGGUUUGGCACCUCGAUGUCGGCUCAUCGCAUCCUGGAGCUGAAGUAGGUUCCAAGGGUUUGGCUGUUCGCCAAUUAAAGCGGUACGCGAGCUGGGUUCAGAACGUCGUGAGACAGUUCGGUCCCUAUCUGUCGCGGGCGCAGGAUAUUUGAAGGGAUCUGUCCUUAGUACGAGAGGACCGGGAUGGACGAACCUCUGGUGUACCAGUUGUACUACCAAGUGCAUAGCUGGGUAGCCAAGUUCGGAAGGGAUAAACGCUGAAGGCAUCUAAGCGUGAAACCCACCCUAAGAUGAGAUAUCCCACCGUAAGGGUAAGACCCCAUGUAGACUACAUGGUUGAUAGGCCAGAGGUGUAAGUGCAGUAAUGUAUUUAGCUGACUGGUACUAAUAGGUCGAGGGCUUGACCU
rnacentral:rRNA from 1 species